rnacentral:misc_RNA from 1 species
GGAGGGAUCAUUACCGAGUGCGGGCCCUCGCGCCCAACCUCCAACCCUUUGUCGAUUCAUAACUGUUGCCUCGGGGGGCGACCCGGACGCGAGCCCGGGAGUCCCCCAGAGGUCCAAUCAAACACACUGCGUCUUUGCGUCGGAGUAUUGCAUAUAAAUCAAUCAAAACUUUCAACAACGGAUCUCUUGGUUCUGGCAUCGAUGAAGAACGCAGCGAAAUGCGAUAAGUAAUGUGAAUUGCAGAAUUCAGUGAAUCAUCGAAUCUUUGAACGCACAUUGCGCCCUUUGGCAUUCCGAAGGGCAUGCCCGUUCGAGCGUCAUUACACCACUCAAGCCUGGCUUGGUAUUGGGCGUCGUCUUCAUUGGCGUGCCUUCAAUUCUUCGGCUGGACGGUACGAAUCUCAGCGUUGUGGUUUUAUCAAAUCGCUGGCGAAGAGGACCGGACGUCGCCGUAAAAACUUCAUUACAGGUUGACCUCGGAUCGGGUAGGGAUACCCGCUGAACUUAAGCAUAUCAAUAAGCGGAGGAAAAGAAACCAACAGGGAUUGCCCUAGUAACGGCGAGUGAAGCGGCAAUAGCUCAAAUUUGAAAUCUGGCGCAAGCCCGAGUUGUAAUUUGUAGAGGAUGCUUCUAGGCAGCGGCCGGUCUAAGUCUCUUGGAACAGGGCGUCAUAGAGGGUGAGAAUCCCGUAUGUGACCGGCUGGCACCUUAUACGUAGCUCCUUCGACGAGUCGAGUUGUUUGGGAAUGCAGCUCUAAAUGGGAGGUAAAUUUCUUCUAAAGCUAAAUACCGGCCAGAGACCGAUAGCGCACAAGUAGAGUGAUCGAAAGAUGAAAAGCACUUUGGAAAGAGAGUUAAAAAGCACGUGAAAUUGUUGAAAGGGAAGCGCUUGCAACCAGACUUGCUGACGGUGUUCCGCCGGUCUUCUGACCGGUCUACUCGCCGUCUGCAGGCCAACGUCGUCUGGGGCCGCUGGAGAAAGGUGUCAGGAAUGUAGCUCCUCCGGGAGUGUUAUAGCCUGUCGCACAAUACAGCGCGCGCCGGGCGAGGUCCGCGCUUCGGCAAGGACGUUGGCGUAAUGGUCGUAAGCGGCCCGUCUUGAAACACGGACCAAGGAGUCGAUCAAUUGUGCGAGUGUUCGGGUGGAAAACCCUUGCGCGUAAUGAAAGUGAACGGAGGCGAGAACCCGCAAGGGCGCAUCGUCGACCGAUCCUGAUGUCUUCGGAUGGAUUUGAGUAAGAGCAUAGCUGAUCGGACCCGAAAGAUGGUGAACUAUGCCUAAAUAGAAUGAAACCAGGGGAAACCCUGGCGGAAGUUCGCAGCGGUUCUGACGUGCAAAUCGAUCGUCAAAUUUGGGUAUAGGGGCGAAAGACUAAUCGAACCAUCUAGUAGCUGGUUCCUGC